rnacentral:rRNA from 1 species
GACGAACGCUGGCGGCGUGCUUAACACAUGCAAGUCGAACGGAAAGGCCUCUUUCGGGGGGUACUCGAGUGGCGAACGGGUGAGUAACACGUGAGUAACCUGCCCUUAACUUUGGGAUAACUUCCGGAAACUGGGGCUAAUACCGGAUAGGAGCUCCUGCUGCAUGGUGGGGGUUGGAAAGUUUCGGCUGUUGGGGCUGGGCUCGCGGCUUAUCAGCUUGGUGGUGGGGUAGUGGCUUACCAGGGCUUUGACGGGUAGCCGGACUGAGAGGGUGACAGGCCACACUGGGACUGAGAUGCGGCACAGACGCCGACGGGAGGAAGAAGGGGGGAAUAUUGAACAAUGGGUGGCGGCCGGAUGCAGAAACGCCGCGGGCGGGAAGACGGUCUUGGGGUUGUAAAACGCUUUCGCUCAUGACGAAGCUUUGUGUGACGGUAGUGGGUAAAGAAGCACCGGCUAACUACGUG